CCCUAGCUGGUCUGAGAGGAUGACCAGCCACACUGGAACUGAGACACGGUCCAGACUCCUACGGGAGGCAGCAGUGGGGAAUAUUGCACAAUGGGCGCAAGCCUGAUGCAGCCAUGCCGCGUGUGUGAAGAAGGCCUCGGGUUGUAAAGCACUUUCAGCGGGGAGGAAGGCGAUAAGGUUAAUAACCUUGUCGAUUGACGUUACCCGCAGAAGAAGCACCGGCUAACUCCGUGCCAGCAGCCGCGGUAAUACGGAGGGUGCAAGCGUUAAUCGGAAUUACUGGGCGUAAAGCGCACGCAGGCGGUCUGUCAAGUCGGAUGUGAAAUCCCCGGGCUCAACCUGGGAACUGCAUUCGAAACUGGCAGGCUAGAGUCUUGUAGAGGGGGGUAGAAUUCCAGGUGUAGCGGUGAAAUGCGUAGAGAUCUGGAGGAAUACCGGUGGCGAAGGCGGCCCC
rnacentral:rRNA from 1 species